rnacentral:rRNA from 1 species
AGCUCCAAUAGCGUAUAUUAAAGUUGUUGCAGUUAAAAAGCUCGUAGUUGGAUUUCGGGACGGCCCGGCCGGUCCGUCGCGAGACGAGUACUGGUCGGCCGUCCUUCCUCUCGAAAGCCCCGACUGCUCUUCAUUGCAGUGGUCGGGUAGUUCGGGACGUUUACUUUGAAAAAAUUAGAGUGUUCAAGGCAGGCUCACGCCCGAAUACAUUAGCAUGGAAUAAUGGAAGAGGACCUCGGUCCUAUUUUGUUGGUUUCUGGGGCCGAAGUAAUGAUUGAGAGGGACAGUUGGGGGCAUUCGUAUUUAAUUGUCAGAGGUGAAAUUCUCGGAUUUAUGAAAGACGAACGACUGCGAAAGCAUUUGCCAAGGAUGUUUUCAUUAAUCAAGAACGAAAGUACGC